CUCUGUUCUGACGGUAUAAUCUGGUAGCGAGAUCUCAGCCACGCGCGGCUGACAUUAUAAGCUAAGCAAUCUUACGCCUUUCCAUUAUUUUAAAUUGCUACAGGCACGAGGCAAGGACUCUCAGUCACAUGUGAGGCUAGACAUCAGCUGAGAUAAGAAGAGCUCCAGUCAGCACCUGUCAUUUAUUGUUAUUGACAGAUUGGCAGAGGUUGAGAUUUCUGGCAGAACUGUAUCUUGUGUAAUUCCUCUCC
rnacentral:lncRNA from 1 species